CACAACAAAACGUCUGAUAAGAUAUAUAUACUUGAGCCCGAACCCAGGGCGUACUUUCAAGCACACUGAGCAAAAUCGUAAGGAGCACCAUGGUUGAACGAGAAGGUCGAUCGCGACGAUCUAGACGCAAAUUUAUUUGAAAUUUUUCAUGUUAUUAUUCGUAGUGAUAACGACGAUGUACACCCUUUCGUAUAAGCACAAUUAACCGUAUGCCAUCCAUCUAAAUUUCUCAGUAUAUCAUGUGUUUCCAAGACUUUGAGCACAGGCUUCAUUCUUGUGAUGUAUUCUUUACAACUUAAACCGAAAAUUUUGAGAUUCUUCAAAAUUUCUCGAAAAUUGCCUAUUUACAACUUGAAGCCAAAGUCUUAUCCAUUACUAACACUAGACUAUCUUAUGGAACAAGAUUAUUUAGGUUUUUUCAGCUGAAUUCAUAUUGUACAUUGACCACCGUAUAGAGUUUCAAAGCUGACGUUUCGAGCGUUAGCCCUUCGUCUGCGAGGCGAAUGACGAAGGGUUACCGCUCGAGACGUCCGCCUAGAAACUCUUUAUGGUGGUCAAUUUACGUAACAAACUCAGUUGAUAAAACCACAUUACCUAGUUAUAUUCCACCACCGACAGAAACUUAACCCCUUUAUUUUUUAGUACCGUUUGAACAAAUUCGACCUAACCGGUCUUGCAGUGGAAAAUCAUGUGACUUAAACCUAGUUUAAGUACUAUUUUUGGAGAUGACAAGUCAAAAUCCAUACAGCCAUGUCUUUGUCUAACUUGCGUCCAAGUGUUUUCUUUUUCAAGAGAUAAGCAACAGUGGACGAGGCAAACUGAGGAAAAUAACCAAGUAACGUCAAUGUGUCGCGCCGCCGGCUUUAGGUGCAGUAGGACUUGGUCGCUAAAUAGCAACGUAUCUAAAGCCACAGUUUAGGUCCUAUACAAACUCCCGAAAAUGGUUACACUCGUCGAUUGGACAGGUAGUUGUAAUUUCCCGCCACGCUAAGAAAUCUUAGUGAAGGGAAAUUAAUUUUGAAAUUUUUAGCACGAGCGAGAAGGUAAAAAACUCCUAAGUAUUUUGAAUACUUUUGCAAACUCAUGCACAGAAAUAAUAACAGAACUACAAAAAAAGGCGCGAUUUUUUGAAAGCAUGGAAAUGGGCAAAGUUUUCCGCUUUGUGUAUCUAAGACGUGGGCAGGAUUUUUAAGCUUCGCGGGGAUGUUUUCUCUUAAGAUCGUCCACCACCGAAACACAAACUAGCUUUUGAACACCAUAGUUUCAUCCUUGAACAUUCUGAGAGUUGAUCGUUCUCGUAAAAAAGACUUCUUAGCUAUUAUCUGAUUUCUGAGAGCAAGUUUGGUCAACUUUGUGACGUCCUCGCACUUUUAUUAGCUCUAUCAACUAUCAAUGGCUUUAAACUUAAGUUUGAUGGUCGAUACACACUAGCAUAUCAUCCUUUCAGCCAUAUUAUAUAUAGCCUUUAUGCCUCUUUGUGUCUUAUAUGGCGCAUUUCAUCAGGAGAUAUCCCGAUCGUCCUCGACCAUCUUCGGAUAUUGAAAAGUGUAACUCAUGUUCGCCAGUGUAAUUACAAAACCUUAGGGACCUACCCUAUCUUAUUCAAGAAGAAAAACAGUAUAUCUUGCUUGCUAAGAAGUCAUAAUCAAUGGAUUUCAGUUAUCAUUUUCGAUUCUCUAAAGCACAAACGCUUAAAGUUUUUGACUAUAACUCAAUAUGGAAUAAUUUCGCACCGAUGUAUACCAUGCAUGAGAAAGUGGGAUACGUCUUUCACAGUCUUCCAUGACUGUGGUUAGGCAGGAACAAACAUCGUCAAGUUCUGAACAUCAAAUUCUGAAGUUGUCUAUGCGAUACGACCAAAUACCGUUCUGCCUUCUGUUCUGAACAGCUUCUCAGAUAUCGUUGUUCUUGUUGUACCUUAGAGAAACUGUCAUGGCCUGAUAUAGAGCAUGAACGCUCUGUAGUGGAGUAUUUAAACACAAUUUAACGGCCUUUGGCUGGCUUUAUGUGCUAUGAGAGGCAGUAUAAAUGUUCUACAAAUGACGUUCUGUUGUUUAGUACAAUUUACUCCGUGGACAUCAUACACCGCGUUAUCGAGUACGUUUGUUGUAUGUGAGAAGGUAUAUGGGCACCAAUUUUUACGUCUUGGUACGAUAUCAAAGAGUUCGUGAGUAUACAUUUAGAUCAAUUGAUCUACGGAAUUUGGGCGCCCCGUAUCUUUGCGGGUGUUUGGUUCAUGCUUUACUACACUUGAAUCGGUGGGUGAGACCAUUACUUUUGUCUCAGCCUUCCGUUUUCAAGUGCCACCGUAUAUGAAAGCAAGAAACCGCAACUAUUCAUAUGACCAAAUGGUGACAGAAUGCUCGUAUCGAAGACUGUAUUUACAUUCCAAGAGUGUCUUAAUUAGAAUUAAGUAACGAAAAAAUUUUAUUCGAAGUCACGCGAUCAUCAUGUUCAAAGAGCCAGCAGGGUGCUAAAUUACACUAUUUGAAAAGUUUUGAAGAAUAAUCACACUCUCUGCUUAACCUUUUAUACAAAAAGUUUAUACGGCCAAACGAUUUCGGCGGCCACCUCUCCCUUUUCCUUGCCUUAUCAGGGGGUUUAAAUGCAAUGAGACUGAAAGCCGAGAGUUGCGCAUGCAUGCUUGUUAUUACAGUCUUCAGUUUCUUUUAGGGACCUCAGUAACCAUUUACGUAGAUAUUACCGAUGCCAAAUUUACCUUUCGCCGAACUUAUCUACUUUCCGCGAAUAUGCUGACAGCAAGUUUCGUAGGAAUGACAAUUAAGAGACUCUCUUCGCUUGUCAAGAUGGGAGCACUUAAAUAAACUUAUUUGUUCAUUAGGACUUGGUGGGUAGGUGAUGCUUUCGAGCGUUAAAUUAUGCGAAUCUUACCACUGACAAGAAAAGAGCCUUUUUUUCAAGAAGCUAUGGUUUUUUCUGCUUUUUGUCCUUGUGGGCAAGUACUGGGUCAGUACUGAACUUUCGCAUACGCAGUUAUUGUGUUGUUUCACACAGCACACGCACAAUUAGCUACGUCGAUCACGAUAAGCGCCCUUUGUCGACCUUUCAGAAGUGCUUAACAAUUUCAAACCCUGCCGCCAUCAGAAUAUCUGACUUACGAUUCGCUAUUUUCAAAAUUUUACGUCAUCAUUUAACUGCUGGUGCUAUUUAAUUACAUCCAAUCAAAUUACAUAGGGAAAGUCCCUCUAAUGAACAUGCCUAUGCUUGCCCAAAACAGGAGAAGUUUUUCCUAGUUUUAUAUGAGAUAUAAUUGUGCAAGUUUCUCGAUUCACAUGCUCUAAAAUAAGAACAUUCUCGAUUUUGUUUUGUCCUCUAGAACUUGGUCUCUCUCUAUCAUAGUAAACAUUCCGAACAACGAAUAUUUAGCAGUUUCUAAGCGUAUCUUCCCAUGCAAGAUAUUGUGUAUUAACGAACGAUGAAAUUCAGCGAUUCGCAUAGUUGGAAGGUAUUUCGUUUCCAAACGGAACGUGUGAAAACUUCGUAUGGGAACUUCUACAGUGUUCAAAACAGACAAACUGGAAAAUAAUUUGAUUUGAAGACUUCAGAAGUUUCGCGAGCUAUUUUAAGAAACAAUCAAUUAUUCAAUGACUGGCAAGUAUUGUUUCGCUGGUGGCCAGAUCAUGAGGGUCCCAAUGCGCAUGCACGAAACCUGAGCACGUCGAAGAACCUCGAAGGUGCGCUUGCUGGAAACUGUCGAUGAACAACGAGUGUAGUUUAUUUUACUCGGUACGAGAGGUAAGAAAACGUUUUCAACUAACUUUCGGUUUUCCUACAGUUUCUUUUCCAUAAUUUUUACCCUUACAGCGAAAACCACUGGGAAAAUCAUUGUUUUCGUCACAAUGUCGACAUCUCAGUGGUUGUUGCAACUGCUCAAGCUUUCGGCUAAUCACAGAUCCGUCUUCAUGCGCUUAUGAUAGUUUAGAACGGCUGCGGAAAAGGCGGUAUGGUCAUGUUUGCAAAUGGUCGUCACGUUUGAACUAAACCGGUUUGGGCAUACAUGACCAACUACUUGUCUGGUUACGAAGAAAUAUGAUUUCAACUUUGACACGGCGGUUAGUUGUACGCGACGGUUAACUUGACGGUAUUACAAGAAGCUUUAAACACGGAUGAAAAAUUAUUUGAAUCAUAAAACUUGGAGCCAUUUUAGAAUAUACUGUUAGCUGAAGUGCACAGGUAAUUUGGAAAAGUUUGCAUAAAUCUAGGCUACAAGUCUUAGUAACGUUGCCAAUACAUCAGUCCAUACUUUGCGAUCUUUAAUCGUGUGCGACCCACUAUCCUGAGAGAAACGAUUUAAACGUUAAUUUGUCAUUAUAACCAAGGCGAACAACACAUCUUUAAAAAAA